AAACAGGAACAUCCUGUGAGGAUAUAUUAUACCGCAGGAAAUGAUGCACGCCAUUAAGCAUGACGAGAUCAAUAUGAACUUUGCAACAUCAUUUUAAAAUGCUAUAAAUAGAUCAGGGCACAUGGGCGGAGAAAAGUCAUCUCAGGCAACAUUUGAGGAUAAGAAUAUAAACCGUGGUGGAAGUAAAAGUACCAAUAACACAAGACGAUAUCCAUGAAGCCGUACAUGCCGUAGCAGAUUUGGAAGAGCAGGUCCUGACGUUGCCACUUGGCCGAGGGGCUGAGGGAGGACCAGAUGAGCCAGGAGAUGCUGGCGAUGAGGAAAAGGGAACCCAGAAUAAUGGCCGCUAUCUGCACCUUCUCUAUCACCGUCAGAGAGAUGGCCUGCCACUGGAAGAGGAGAGAAGCGUGCAAAUGAGUGUCGGAGGAAGUACUCAGAUUCUUUACUGAAGUAAAAGCACGAAUACAACGAUGUAAACAUACAAGUCAAAGUCCUGCAUUCAUUUAAACCUGUUCUUACGCCACAUGCACCAUAUAUCUUAUUUCAGCUAUAAAUCUCAUUUUCAUCAGGAGCCCAAAAUACAAGACAAAUCCCACAGACGGCCGUCGAAAAGAAAAAAGAUAAUCACUUAAAAUAUUAUUAUAUAACAAGGUUGUUGUUUGUAAGAAAAUAUUUGGCGAUAACCGUUAUAUUUUUAAAAUGAAAUGUUACUAAUACACAUGUGCAUACAAUAAUCCAGCGGCUCUUAAAUCAUUUCCUUCUCCCCACACUUGUAUUUUGAGUGUUAUUAAUUUUCAAAAUAAAAGACAAAAGGCACAAUAAACAAAGUCAUUUUGAAAGCAUUUUAUUUUAUUUUAUAAUUUAUCGUUACCGUUAUUUUGGCCACAGUGAUCGUGUAGUGAUAAUCUGAUAUCGUGACAUUGAAAAUAAUAAUAAUUCAGAGAUGGAGCUAUAUUUAAAAAAUAUGACUUUCUUUUAUCUGUUUUUCUGAAAUAUUUGACACUUUUAAAGUUAUUUAAAUGAAACCAUGUGUGCGAUUAAAGGAACAUCUCAAACCUA